AUCAGCUGAUGAGUCCCAAAUAGGACGAAACGCGCGUCCUGGAU
rnacentral:hammerhead_ribozyme from 1 species